AUCUGAACCAGUAACCCCACGUUUUCCAACACAGACAUAGAUCAUGGGGGUGAUUCUACUAUCUUAUUUGAACUGUGCAAGUUAGAUUGAAUCAAAUGAUUAUUAGAUGCGAGUGUUGGUUAUUUCUUUUAACUUUGUGGUUUAAUUGGCUGAUAGAGUAGUCAAUGCAAAGUUUAUUUUCAAAUGGUAAAACAUAUUGUUUGAAGUUGGGUAGCUUGGGCAUUUUUCAUGUCCAUAGCCGUUUUCCACUGAUUAAUUAAUUCUUUCACUUUCUAUACAUUUGUUUUGCAGGCAUUGCAGAACUCAGAGUGAUGAUGAUGAUUUGUUGGGUAGUUGUUUUUGGGUAGUUGUUUCCUCCAAGUAAGCUGUGUUUGGAGACUUGGAGUGAUGAUGAUGAUUUGUUGUAACACAAAUCUUAGGUAAUAAAUUGGAUAAAGGGUUGGAUGAUCUUGACAGCAAAGAUUCAUGGACUAUGGUUUCUCAGAGAAUCAGCAAAUUUCAGGAGAAAAGCAUUUGGGGUGUGUCCAUACACCCACAUAGAGUGCUCACAUUAUUUGGGGUGUUCAUCAUGGGGAGUGUACCUAGAUAGUGGCUCCUCAAGAAGCGGGAAAUAGAAAGCAGAAUCUGUUUGGAUUCAAUUGAUAAGUAAUAGCCUGCAUAAGAACAGUAUGCAGUAGCUCUUGUGUAUUCUUUGGUUAAGAACUUGUCAAGAUGCUUGGAAUUUGAUUCAUCUUUUGUUUGUUUGUUUUUUUUUUUUAUGUGUGUUAGUAUUGAAGAAUUAGAUUCUAAAAGAUUAUAUUGACAAACUCUUAAUAUGGAAUGAAGUGUUGCAUUUCAAUC